GUACACUCCUACGGGAGGCAGCAGUGGGGAAUUUCGGACAAUGGGCGAAAGCCUGAUCCAGCAAUGCCGCGUGAGUGAAGAAGGCCUUCGGGUUGUAAAGCUCUUUUGUCAGGGAAGAAACGGUGAGAGCUAAUAUCUCUUGCUAAUGACGGUACCUGAAGAAUAAGCACCGGCUAACUACGUGCCAGCAGCCGCGGUAAUACGUAGGGUGCAAGCGUUAAUCGGAAUUACUGGGCGUAAAGCGUGCGCAGGCGGUUUUGUAAGUCUGAUGUGAAAUCCCCGGGCUCAACCUGGGAAUUGCAUUGGAGACUGCAAGGCUAGAAUCUGGCAGAGGGGGGUAGAAUUCCACGUGUAGCAGUGAAAUGCGUAGAUAUGUGGAGGAACACCGAUGGCGAAGGCAGCCCCCUGGGUCAAGAUUGACGCUCAUGCACGAAAGCGUGGGGAGCAAACAGGAUUAGAUACCCCGGUAGUCCCA
rnacentral:rRNA from 1 species